rnacentral:lncRNA from 1 species
CCGUUUUGCUUCUCGUAGAUUUUGGGUUGAGUGUGUCACCCACAUUCCACCGUAUAUAGGUUAAAAUUUGCACAUGUUACGCCUGUCUGAAGUAAUAUUUGAAAAAGACCACUCCACCACCAUAAAGGGUGUCCACCAAAAUCAGUCUAAACCGAUGGUUAUAAGAACCAUUAUUGCCUGCAACUCCAAGGACAAAGAUUCUGAUGUUAUAAAACAAUAGCAGGCCGCUAUUUAUCAUUAUAAUAGAAAACAAUGGCCAAUAAUGGGAAAAAAAAAAAACACCUCCAUUUGCUUCAAUCUUUGUGAGUUGGGAAAAAUGCUUUUAACUAUUAAUGAAAUAAAAAACAUUCUUAGUCUAGCUCAAAACUUGAAUAAUUAAAAAUGCUAUUUUACUGAUUGAAUUGGUGCAAAUGGUAAAUUAUGGUUGUGGCAAUAUGCCUUGCGGAUGAAAGUUCAAACCGUCUUUAGGUAGGCCACAUCAUCCUCUGGUGUCGCACGUGCAGCUUCAGCAACGAACAAGUAUGGAGGAAUUAGUGCACUCCUUGGGUGUUCCUUUAUAAGGAAGGCAUAAUAAUAAAAACACUUUCUUCCGGACAUGUUCAAAGCCCAAAAAAUUCCGCCAGAUCUGAUAGGUUAGAACAUGACAUGAAAAAGCCAAAUAUCGAUUCCCAGACAAGAUAUGGCACAAUAGCCAUCACACAUUAAAUUCCAAGAUCUAACCAAAAAAUGAAUUAAAUACCCAAUAGUAGCAAAAUCUUAUCAAGAAAAACUAGCUAAAAAAUAUUAAUUAAAUUUUUUUACUCUAUAUAAUUAUUCAAAAUCUAUCUAAUGCACCAUCAAUAUAAAAUUAAAUAUACAUCCAUAUGGACCCUCACAGUCCCCUUGCUUAAGCUAUAAUAUCUUGCUCAAUUAAAAUCUAAAUUCAUUCCAAUCCAAUCAUAAAUAUCAAUCUGCCAUUAAUCACAAAUACCGUGACUAUUAUGUGGUCAACUCCCAUACUAUGAUAUCUCCUAAUCCACAUGGACCAUGAAGUGGAUUAGCUCCAAGAUACCGUUUGCAGCGAUGGAUGAAAUCACCUAAAAUGACUAAUCAGAAGGAAUCAUUUUGUGUUCCUUAUCCUACGAGUAUCCAAGAUUCAUUCAAUACAUAUCCAACAUUAAAAUAAAUAUAUGCCUAAAUAUAUACCCAUUGAGUUCUCACAAACAACAUAGUUUGCACAUAUUGUCCAAAGAAAAUAAGACAUCACAUAUAAAGUGCA